CCAGCCAAUUCCCCGAGAAGUUUCCCCUCCUGCAUCAGGGAGAAUGAGACUUUGGCGCCACUUACUUUUCAUUGUAGCGGCUUUGUCAGGGGCCCGUUCGCAGGUUGUUCUGACCCAGUCGGGUCUCGAAGUGAAGCAGCCCGGAGAAUCCACCCAGCUGAAAUGCGCCGUGAGCGGGUUUGUUCCUAACGACUGGUGGAUGGACUGGGUCAGGCAGCAGCCGGGAAAGGGACUGGAGUGGCUGGUUCACUAUCACAAAUCUUCAGUCACGAAUUACUACUCCCCCUCCAUCCAGGGGCGAUUCACAGCCUCCAAGGACAGCGCCAACUUCUACCUGCAAAUGACCGGCCUGAAAGCGGAGGACACCGCUGUGUAUUACUGUGCGAGAGACACAAGGAGCCAGCAGAAGGUCCUCGCCAGCUGCCGAGCCCCACCUAAGCCUCCUGCAGGAUUUAUCCACUAG